rnacentral:rRNA from 1 species
AUUGAACGCUGGCGGCAGGCCUAACACAUGCAAGUCGAACGAGUGGCGGACGGGUGAGUCAUGUCUGGGAAACUGCCCGAUGGAGGGGGAUAACUACUGGAAACGGUAGCUAAUACCGCAUACCAUCGGAUGUGCCCAGAUGGGAUUAGCUAUGAGGUGGGGUAACGGCUCACCUAGGCGACGAUCCCUAGCUGGUCUGAGAGGAUGACAAGCCACACUGGACCUGAGACACGGUCCAGACUCCUACGGGAGGCAGCAGUGGGGAAUAUUGCACAAUGGGCGAUAGCCUGAUUCAGCCAUGCCGCGUGUAUGAAGAAUGCCUUCGGGUUGUAAAGUACUUUCAGCGGGGAGGCGUUACCCGCAGAAGAAUCACCGGCUAACUCCGUGCCAGCAGCCGCGGUAAUUC